rnacentral:lncRNA from 1 species
GAGGAAAAAGGGUCUGUAAGUGUUACAGACACUGCCAUUGAAAGCCUAUCAUUCACACAUGACACUCAGGGUGAACAGUGCUCAAAGCAAGAGUACCGGAGCAAGGCUGAGGAUCUGCGGAAUGGGGAGUCUGCAGCCUUUUUGUCUACGCAUGAUUUCAUUCACAUGGAUUCCACGUGGUGCUUGCACAACCUCUCUGCUCUGGUCCUGGGGAGGACAUUCUGGAGCAGAAGCGGGCACUUCUGGCAGGGCCAAGGUGAUUCUGACCCCUGGCCUUGGUCAUGCUGAGGCUACCAAGCCCGGGGCAUGCAGUCGGACAGCUCCACAGGGAGCAGAGAGCAUAGGGGACACCCGGGCUCCACUUAAACUCAGUCACAGCAUCCUAUACCUUUGAUGUACACUUCAUGACCUGGCUGGGCCUGUAGCUGGAGUUCAUUUUCAGGGUUAAGGCAACCUGUCCCCUGGUCCUCCCUGGCCACCCUGAGACUGGGGCUGGGGCUGCUGUGGAAGGAUCUGCUAGGGCCCCAGGGCUUGGAGGUGUCCCUGGACAUGGAAUGUUUUUAGGUCUAGUAGAGUGGACAGGUGGCUGUCCCUUGAGUGUUGUAGAGCAGGGUGCAGCAGGUGAUUUCUCAUGGGGGGCAGGGGGCGGCAGUGACACACUGCUGAGGAAGCAGCUGACAUUCACUAGGAGAGCGAGCAGACAGAUGCAACCAGCAGCCCACUCCUAGGCAUGUGCUGUAAGGGGGUGAGGGAGUGUUUCUCCUAAUAGCCCCAAAGUGGAGGCAACCCAUGCCGUCCACAUUUAUUGCAGCCCUCUCUGAGUUGCAUCUAUCUGUACAGUGGAAUCCACCUGCAGGGAUGAGCUACUGUAUAGGUUGGUGUGACGACACGGAUGUGACUCUCAGAGGGCUGAGUGGACAAAGCAAAUCCAAAAAGAGUAUAAGCAGCAGCAUUUUAUUCAUGUGAAAUUUAAAAAAUGAGCAAUAUGAGGGCUGGGGAUUUAGCUCAGUGGCACCACACCUGCCGCUCAAGUGCAAGGUUCUGAGUUCGAUCCCCAGUACCAAAAGAAAAAAAAAAAAGCAAUCUGAAACAACUUUUGCAUGCAUACCUAAAAAUAUGGUAAAACAAAAAUCAAGAAAAGAUUAAAAAUUCAGAGUAGGACUUGUCCAGGGGGACGGAAGGAGUCAGAAUUGGCCAAGGCUUCUCAGGGGAGAUGGAGAGUUCUGGCAGGGUUCUGCUUCUUAAUCUGCAGGUGUCAACCAGGAUGUUUGCUUUAUGGUUAUUCUUCAAGCUGUUCAGUUUUCUUCCUCCCUUUCUUCUUUCCUUCCAUGUUGGGGCUUGAACUCAUGUUAGGCAGUCCUUCUACCACUGAGCUUCAUCUCCAGCGCCUGUGAAUUUGACUCUGUAUUACAGUCACAAUAAAAAUAUUUGGGAAAGAAACGCAAGCAAACUGUAGCAGUGGGAUGCUCUGGAAUGGCC